rnacentral:rRNA from 1 species
GAUGAACGCUGGCGGCGUGCCUAAUACAUGCAAGUCGAGCGAACAGAUGAGGAGCUUGCUCCUCUGACGUUAGCGGCGGACGGGUGAGUAACACGUGGAUAACCUACCUAUAAGACUGGGAUAACUUCGGGAAACCGGAGCUAAUACCGGAUAAUAUAUUGAACCGCAUGGUUCAAUAGUGAAAGACGGUUUUGCUGUCACUUAUAGAUGGAUCCGCGCCGCAUUAGCUAGUUGGUAAGGUAACGGCUUACCAAGGCAACGAUGCGUAGCCGACCUGAGAGGGUGAUCGGCCACACUGGAACUGAGACACGGUCCAGACUCCUACGGGAGGCAGCAGUAGGGAAUCUUCCGCAAUGGGCGAAAGCCUGACGGAGCAACGCCGCGUGAGUGAUGAAGGGCUUCGGAUCGUAAACUCUGUUAUUAGGGAAGAACAAAUGUGUAAGUAACUAUGCACGUCUUGACGGUACCUAAUCAGAAAGCCACGGCUAACUACGUG